CUGCUGUGUGCUGCCCUCCUUGGGAAGCUGCUGGGAAGCUGUACUACAAAUCUUGACGUAGUUGUGUCAUGCUGAUUUUCACACUCUCUCUCUCCAGCUUUAUAGCUGUGGGACGCAGCUCCUGAAGCCAGCAAGUUCUGCUACCCCUGGGGCUGGAAACAUGUUCCGUGAAGCCAGAGAAGUUCGCUUUCUCCUGGGAUUUUCUGUGCUUUUCAUCGCCUCUCACACAGAAGCCAAAGCGAAAGUUCGU